rnacentral:ncRNA from 1 species
GCACGCCUGUCGGGACCCGAAAGAUGGUGAACUAUGCCUGAGCGGGGCGAAGCCAGAGGAAACUCUGGUGGAGGCUCGAAGCGAUACUGACGUGCAAAUGCUUCGUCUGACUUGGGUAUAGGGGCGAAAGACUAAUCGAACCAUCUAGUAGCUGGUUCCCUCCGAAGUUUCCCUCAGGAUAGCUGGAGCCCAUUACGAGUUCUAUCAGGUAAAGCCAAUGAUUAGAGGCAUUGGGGACGC